CUUUUUGUCUGUGUGUGUGAAAAUGUCAGUUGAGAUUUAAAUUUCUGAACAUUCCGCAAUGUUAAUCAAUGGGAGUUUUUUCCGAGUUUGAUCGUCAUUUUUAGGAAAACCGUAAGUCCGAUCAGUUAGAAAAGAUAUAGCACACUAUUCGGGAUUAGUCUGAAGGUCUGUGCCGAGUUUGGUGCCUGUAGCUUAAAAGCUCUAGGAGGAGUUAGUCUUGGUAAUUUUAGUCUCAGAAGAAUAAUAAUAAUAAUAAUAAUAAUAAUAAGUUUAAAUAGGAUUUCAG